rnacentral:lncRNA from 1 species
AAGCAUUCUCAAUUGUGUGGUUCCCUAUACUACAUGAGAUAGUGGGGGAGCCUGGGUCUUUGCAUUUUAAAGGAAUUUUAUGUUGGAGUAUAGAACUAACGUUUUCUGUUAAAAAUGCCUUCUUUUGAACAUGCAUGUUUCUCUUUUUAGUACAAAGGUCUUUAAGAAACUUGGCAUAAGAUGGAACUUGUUUAAUAGCAUCAAGUAAAGGGAUGUUAACACUUACCUGUUUGAAGAUUUCAAGAAUCUCACCUGUAGAUUUUCCCUUUUUUCCUUUCGCUAACCUCUGAGGAAAUGGAGCUUUGGGAACGUAUUCUCGUGGGUUGGUUUCUUCUUUCUCCUCCGGUGAUGAGUCAUCAACAUUCACAGGUACAAUUUGAUUUUCCUUUGUCACCGGCAUCUCCACUUUGUUGUCGAUUUCUUUUCCUUUUCGCAAGGUCAUUAUUGCUUUGACCUCUCCAUGCUGUUGUGGUGAACUGGUACUUGCUUCAUGUACUCCUUUAGGAUUAGGCACUGGUUGACUUGGAAACUUACCUUUCUCAACGGUCAUUGCCAAGGUUUGAACUGAAGAAGCAAGUUGUCCCACCAUCUUCUCGAGGCUUGAAACAGAUUGAGCUUGUGAGUUGAAGCCUGCUCUCAACUCAUUUCGUAGUCCAUCAAUGGUGCGGUUCUGUUGCUCAAUCGUGGAGUGAGUAACAUUCCUAAAAUUCUGGAAUGCAUCCUCCCAUGGUCUAGGUUGAGAGUGGUUCUGGUUCUAAUUGUAUGGUCUAAAUGGUGGCUGAGAGGCUUGAGGAACUUGAGGAAUUUGUUGCAUUGGUGGAGCUGGAGCUGUUGGUCCAUUCUGUUGGAAUCCUUGAGACCAUGAAAAAUUGGGGUGGUCUCUCCAUCCAGGGUUAUAUGUGUUGGAGUAUGGGUUGUAAUUUAAUGGCUUUCUCAUUACACCUAUGGCAUUGGCUUGAUCUGAGUAUGAGUCCUGGUCAUGUGGUUCUGUUGAUUUAGCAGUCGAUAACGAUGCUAUUUGUCGAGCAAGACCUUCAACCAUCUCCUUAACUUCUUUGAUUCCCGAAGUUGACUCGCCAAUUUGAACCUCAUUUACUCCCUUAAUUCGUCUAGUAUUCCUGAGUGAUCGACUCCGUUGUUGGGAAUUAUCCGCUUGUCGCUGGAAGAAUUCCCAAAUCUCUGAUGCACUUUUUGACAUUAGCUCUCCUCCACUUGUCGCCAUUAGCCAUUCUUGCACAUUUGGCAAUAAUCCCUCCAAAAAGUAUUGGCAUUGGUGCCAUUUCUCGUACCCAUGAUGUGGACACUUCAAGAGUAGCCCAUUGAAUCGCUCCCAUGUUUCGAAAAAUUGCUCGUCCUCUCUCUGGGUAAACUCCGAGAUUUCCCUGCGAAUAGCAUUGGUUUUAUGCACUGGGAAAUAUUUAUUUAAAAAUUUUGUAACCAUUUGUUCCCAUGAUGAAAUGCUAUUGGCAGGUAAAGUAUUUAACCAUGAACGAGCUCUAUCCUUUAAAGAAAAUGGGAAUAGUCUAAGUUUAACAUCAUCAUCUGAAAAAUUCUCAUAUUUGAAUGUUUGACAAAUGGCAUGAAAAUCAUUCAAAUGAUUAUAUGGAUCCUCAUUUUCUAGGCCAUAAAAUGUGGGGAGACAAUUUAGCACACUAGGUUUUAAUUCGAAACUCCUAGCAGCUACAUUUGGGUAUCUUAUGCAUGAUGUGCUCAAAUUAGCUAAGGGACUGAAGUAGUCCUUAAAUGGCCUCUCCUGUGGUUGCAAAUCCAUUUUAUUUUUAACGUGUUUGUGUGUGCGAAGUGUUUUUUCUAAUUCAAGGUCUAUAGGUUCAAGAUUAGGUAAUAAUGACCUACGACCAUGCAUGCAAAAUAAAUAAAAUAAAAAUAAAGAUGCAAACAAAACAAAAAAUAAAGAUGGGAACAAAACAAAUAAAAAUAAAGAAGAGGGAGAAAUUACGAUACUAACCUUAUUGCGCUAUUACAACCUUUCUAUAAAAAUACACAAAAAUAAAUACGUGAAAGAAAUUAACUAAAAAUUAAAUUAAUAAGAUAAACAAAAAAAAAAUUACAAAGAAAAAUAAAUGGAAAAUUAAAUUACAGAAUUUUAAAGAAGAGAAAAAGAAAAGAAAUACUAACCUUUAAAUGUAGAUUCACUUUUUUUUUUAAUAAUAAAAAAAAAUACAAGAAAACAAAUAAAAGAAAUUAUUCACAAAAAUUAAUUCUAUGAAUUAAAAUUACUUACCUCCCCGGCAACGGCGCCAAAAACUUGUUGUGCAAAUUUUAAUGUACUCGCAAGCGCACGAAUCUGUUGUAGUAUAGAUUAAUGGUGACGAGUGUCGAUCCCACGAGGAGGUGGAUUUUAAUUGUGUAGAAUUAAUUUUGUGAAUGGGUGAUUGGAUUUGUGGUGGAAAUAAUUGGAAUAUGCUAAAACUUAAAUUAAAAUGGAGAGAAUAAAUUCUAAAAUUAGUAUUGAAAUGGUGAGAAUAAAUUGAAGAGAAUUCUAUUGAAAUGACGUACUUGGGUAUCUGGAUUCGUAUCAACAUGCAUCAUGGGCUAAAUAUUCCUUAUUAAUGCCAAUUAAAUCAUGAGGGGGGAAUCCAUACCUCAUGAACCACGCUCUAAUCAAUAUGGUGCUAAGGGCUUAUCGUGCCAAAUAAUAAUAACCUUAUACUAGAGAGCCGGUGUAACCAAGGCGGUAUCUAGACAAGACUAUUAUUAUUUGUCGACGAGAAGUCAAAACAUCCACAAAAAUUAGAGGGGAAGAGAAAAUAAAUUUACCAAAUUAAGCCCAUGACACAUGUUGAGACUUCACCUUCAACCCAAGCUUGAAAGAAAAUUAGCCACUCAUAAUUGAACUAGGGGCAAAAUGGGAAUUUAUUAAAAUACGAAGAAAAUACAAGAUGGAGAAGGAAUUACAGAAAAUGGAUCCCAAAAAUAGAUUCAGAGAUAUCAAAUUAGGGGGGGGAGGCCCCCUUUUUAUAGAUACAUGGAGUAAAUCAUGGCCAUCGGAUUAAAAAUAGUUUGGACGCUCAGGAUUGCGCCACGUCAUCAGUCAACAGUCCACGGUUUGACCACGCGGAUGAACAGUAACACGGUUUGACCCGACUUUGAACAGUAACGCGGUUUGACCCGGAUGAACAGUAACGCGGUUUGGUUGAAAAUAAUCCUGUGUGAUGCAUGCACCGUACGCGAGAUUUUUCGUCCACUGAUAUGCUGCCACGUCACCAUCAACAGUACAUAAGAAUUUUAGUCCAACAGGAUCGUGACACCUCAUCAGUCAAUGCCACAUCAUCGGUCAAUGCCACGUCAUCAUCCGUCUAUGUGAACAGUGUCGUGAACAGUAACGUAUACAGUAUCGUACACGUGAAUAGUACCGUACAUGUGAAUAGUGCCAUUUUUCCUUUUAUGCUCCUCCUAAGGUUUUCGACCGUCCUGAGUUCAAAAGUGAUGUCCGUUUUGCCGUCUGAUCUCUCCUUUAUUGUGAAAUGACUAUAAUGCCCCUAAAAUACAUAAAUUACUUAAUUAAAAUAAAACACACGUAAUUAAAUCAUAAGAAUGUUAAAUACAUAAAAGUAAGGGUUGUUAGUAAGACUUGAAAUGUAAAAUGACGGUUUUCUCCUUUAUAAAUAUGCAUUUUCUAACACUCAACAAUGAGUUGACAAGCUAUCAUCUUAUAUAUAACCAUGCAUCAUGAUAAAGCACUAAAUGUUAAACACAAUGAUAAUUCCAUCAUGUAAACAUACAAGCAUACUUUCGUAAAUUCAUUUGUCAUGAUUCACUCAAUAUAGUAAAUAGGCAAGAUAAACUUAUCUACUUCAUGUUAAUGCACUCAAUGUUAUGAUACCAAAUGAAAUGUUAAAUAUUUACUAAGAUUAAAAGACCAUAACUUAUAAUCAAUAAGGCAAUAAUAGUUACCAAAACAAUUAAAUCAUUUUGCCUCAUUAUUUUUGCUUAGACCAUGAUCAAGUGAUUAUCCUCAUAAGCUUCAUCAAGGAACUCUCCACCAUUCCUUGAUUGUGGUACCUACAAAGAGAACAUUCACGUUGUGCCCUUUGGUACCCAAAUACUCUUGGGUCCUUGAGUGUUAGAUUUAGUUCCUUUCGGAACCCAAAUACAUUUGACUCCAUAAUACACAUUUCUUUUAAUUUGACAUCUAUUCUUCAUAUGACCAUUUUGAUUGCAAUAAUGACAUACAAUUUGAUCAUUUGUGGAGGUAGCCUUAACAAAAUAAUUCUUAUAAUAUUUUUGUUUCAAGUAAGGCUUAUACCCAAGUCCUCCUUUAUCAAACACACAUUUUUGUGAAUUAAGCAUGUUAUCCAACAUCUUUUGCCCAUUUGUGAAUUUCAAAACAAUCUCAUUCAACUCAUUGCUCCUUUUCUUAAGCGUUUCAUUUUCAUUUAUUAAUUCAUCAACAUGUGAUUUCUCAUACUCAUACAAAGUACUUUGUUUACAUGUGAAUGAUGCAAUUCUAUCAUGUAACAUUUCAUUAUCUAAUUCCAAUUCUUUGAUCUUUUCAUUUAAUGAAACAUUGGAUUUUUGCAAGGCAUCUUUUUCAUUUUUCAAGUCAUUUACAUGUGAUUCUAGAUGCUUGUGUGAAAUGUUAGGUUUCUCAUUUGAUAAUGCAACUCUAUCAUACAAUGUUUUAUUCUCUAAUUCUAGGCAUGUAAUCUUUGCACAUAGAGAUUCAUUUUCAUUUUUGAGCUCUACCAUUUUCUUUUUAAGACAUGCAUUCUUUUUACCAAUUUUCAUCCACUCAUCAUACAAUUCUUUAAACGCAUCAUGUAAUUCAUCAUAAGUAAGAAGAUCAUUUACCUCAUCAAGUCCAUCAUCCGAGUCAUCUCCAAUUGCCAUAAGUGCCAAAUUCGACACUUCAUGAAAUUCCUCCUCCUUUGUAGUCUCCUCAUACACAAUUUCAAGUUUUCUCCAAAUUUCAUAAGCAUUAGAACAAUUUGAAACUUUAUGAAAUUCCUUUUUAUCUAAGGCACAAAAUAAAGCAUUCAUAGCCUUGGAAUUUAAUGACAUCUUUUUCUUAUCCAAUUCACUUAAAACAUUCUUCCUAGGAAUGAAUGAAUCAUCACAAACUAUUUCCCAUAGUUCAUAAUCUAAGGCUUGUAAAACACUCUCAUCCUAGUUUUCCAAUAAGGAUAGUCAUUACCAUCAAAGAACGGUGGUCUAAUUGUGGAUUGUCCUUCCCUAAAAAUUGAGUCAUUAUGGGUUGCCAUGGAUCUUUAACUCUAGACGGUUAAGUCUACACAAGAGCACCUCGCUCUGAUACCAAAUGAAAUACUAACUAGGCAACCCAAGAGGGGGGUGAAUUGGGAUUUUAAAAAUUAUCCUAGGCAAACCACACAACAAUUUAAUCUAAUGCCUUAAUAAAUUCGAAAACAAUAAAUUCAAUAAAAGCACAAUAAUAAAUGAGUAGGGGAAGAGAAAGCAAACUCAAGGAUUUUUACGUGGUUCGGCAAUCCCCGCCUACGUCCACGUCUCCAAGCACACCGGGCUUGAGGAUUCCACUAAGCAAGCCUCCAAGGCUUCAAACGCUUACAAUUGACUUCCAAGGUGUCAAUGGACCUUUACAACAAGAGAUUAUCCCCAAUCUCUUAACCCAAGUGUAUCCCAACACUUACAAUCUUUUAACUUGAUUUUACAAAAAAGAUUACAAAUGAAUCUCUCUCACACAAUGUGUUUGAUCACAAGUGAAAGCUCAAUGUGUGAAUGAAUAGAUGAAUACAAAGAUUUAAAGCUCAAUGAAAGUUGUAUUCUCAAUAUUUUGCUCAAUGAUGAUCGUUGGAAUUCUUCUUGUUUGAAUUAGAUUGAGCUUAUUUAUAGUUGGAGCUGAAAAACUAGCCGUUAUAGACUGUCUGCUCGAAAACAGUUCACCGUUAACCAUUAACGGUUAACCGUUUAGGCUGGUCAAAGUUACCGUUGGGCCAAUUUUCAAAUAAACGGUUAGCCGUUUAGGCUUACCCUUUCGCCGUUAAUUUCCAGACACCUGCACAACAAAUUUGGUUUAACCGUUCUUACUAAACGGUUCAAGAUUAGCAAUCUGGAAAUAAUUGAUUAACCAUUUUCAGUAAACGGUUCACUGUUAGUUUCCAGAAGUUUCCAGAAUCAUCAUUUUAACAAUACUUUGCAGAACAUGCUUUCUGGAAAUUAUCGGUUAGCCGUUUUUAAAUAAACUGUUAGCCGUUUGCUACAGUGAUUGCUACAGUAACUUGCACAGUGCACUAUUUUCUGAAAUUAUAUUUUGACCCCAAAACUUUACAAAACUGUACUAUAGCCCAAAAUGUUAUGAAACGUUACAAAUAGGUCCAAUUUCAGAAUUUCUAAGUAAUGCUUUGUUAAUCCCAAAACUUUUUGAAAUUAUGUUAUAGCCCAAAAUGCUAUGACACUUUUCAAAUAAGUCCUUCACCAAAAUUUCAAGCAAUACUUGUUUAUUUCAAAGUUUUCAAAAUGCUUUCAAUUAAACCAUAAACUUUGAAAAAUAACCAAUUUCAUAAAAUCAUUUUUCCAUUAAAUAUGAAACAUUUAUAAUGUGAAAAUAAUGAUUUAUUUAAAAAGAAUAAAAACAAUCAAUUUCAUAAAAUCAUUUUUCCAUUAAAUAUAAAACCUUUAUAAUGUAAAAAUAAUGAUUUAUUUAAAAAGAAUAUUAAAUAAUUUGGGCUUAAAAGAUUAAUCAUUCUUAAUCUUGUUUGUUAUCAUCAAAAUCAAUAUUAUGGAAACAUAUAUGUUAACAGAAUGUAAUGCAUGCAGUCUACUGGAUUUAUACCUUUUAUGUCUACUAUGGUCCAUCCUAAUGCUCCUUUGUGCUCUUUUAAAACAUCCAACAACUUACCUUUUUGUUCAUUGUUGAGGGAUGAUGAAAUGAUUACCGGCAGAGUACUUUCUUCUCCCAAAAAUGCAUAUUCCAAUGUGUUGGGCAAUGGUUUGAGCUCAAGUUUCGGUGGUGAUUCAGAUGAUGGGAUGAGUUUCUUUUCUGAUGGUACUAGUUGUUCAACUCUUGACUUCCAUUUAUUAGUGUCCAUGGAUAGUGCUGAGUCAAGUAGGGCGUUGACCUCAUCUACCGAUUUGUCAAUAUCAAAAUCCAAACCAAAGUGAGUUAAACAUGUUUGUAAAGGAUUAUCACUAAGGUUUGAAAUAAAAGUGUCAUCAACUAAUGCUUCAAUUAAGUCCAUAUCAACAAUUCCAUCAUCUGCAUUAUGAGAUUGUUUGGCAAUGUUGAAAAUGUUUAGCCCCAUAGUCAUAUUGCCGAAGGACAACUGCAUAUUUCCGGUCCUGCAUUGAAUAUGAGCAUCCGCAGUUGCCAAGAAAGGUUGGCCUAGAAUAAUGGGGAUGUGCUUCCUCGAAUCUUGUAUUGGUUGAGUGUCAAUUACAAUGAAAUCAACAGGAAAAUAAAACUUGUCUACCUGGAUAAGCACGUCCUCCACAAUACCACGAGGUAUUUUCGUGGACCGAUCUACAAGCUGUAACAUCACUGGAGUUGGGUGUAAUUCUCCCAGUCCAAGUUUCACGAAUACUGAAUAAGGCAACAAAUUUACACUAGCUCCUAAAUCCAACAAAGCAUUCUCAAUUGUGUGGUUCCCUAUGCUACAUGAGAUAGUAGGGGAGCUGGGUCUUUGCAUUUUAAAGGAAUUUUAUAUUGGAGUAUAGAACUAACGUUUUCUGUUAAAAAUGCCUUCUUUUGAACAUGUAUAUUUCUCUUUUUAGUACAAAGGUCUUUAAGAAACUUGGCAUAAGAUGGAACUUACUUUAUAGCAUCAAGUAAAGAGAUGUUAACACUUACCUGUUUGAAGAUUUUGAGAAUCUCACCUGUGGAUUUUCCCUUCUUUCCUUUAGCUAACCUCUGAGGAAAUGGAGCUUUCGGAACGUAUUCUCGUGGUUUGGUUUCUUCUCUUUCCUCCGGUAAUGAGUCCUCAACAUUCACAGGUACAAUUUGAUUUUCUUUUGUCACCGGCAUCUCCACUUUAUUGUCGACUUCUUUUCCUUUUCGCAAGGUCAUGACUGCUUUGACCUCUCCAUGCUGCUGUGGUGAACUGGUACUUACUUCAUGCACUCUUUUAGGAUUAGGCACUGGUUGACUUGGAAACUUGCCUUUCUCAACAGUCAUUGCCAAGGUCUGAACUGAAGAAGCAAUUUGUCCCACCAUCUUCUCGAGGCUUGAAACUGAUUGAGCUUGUGAGUUGAAGCCUGCUCUCAACUCAUUUCGUAGUCCAUCAAUGGUGCAGUUUUGUUGCUCAAUCGUGGAGUGAGUAACAUUCCUGAAAUUCUAGAAUGCAUCCUCCCAUGGUCUAGGUUGAGAAUGGUUCUGGUUCUGAUUGUAUGGUCUAAAUGGGGGCUGAGAGGCUUGAGGAAUUUGAGAAAUUUGUUGCAUUGGUGGAGCUGGAGCUGCUGGUCCAUUAUGUUGGAAUCCUUGAGACCAUGAAAAAUUGGGGUGCUCUCUCCAUCCAAGGUUAUAUGUGUUGGAGUAUGGGUUGUAAUUAGAUGGCUUUCUCAUUACACCUAUGGCAUUGGCUUGAUCUGAGUAUGAGUCAUGGUUGUUGAGUGUUAGAAAAUGCAUAUUUAUAAAGGAGAAAACCGUCAUUUUACAUUUUAAGUCUUACUAACAACCCUUACUUUUAUAUAUUUAACCUUCUUGUGAUUUAAUUACAUGUGUUUUAUUUUAAUUAAGUAUUUUAUGUAUUUUAGGGGCAUUAUAGUCAUUUCACAAUAAAGGAGAGAUCAGACGGCAAAACGGACAUCACUUUUAAACUCAGGACGGUCGAAAACCUUAGGAGGAGCAUAAAAGGAAAAAUGGCACUAUUCACAUGUACGGUACUAUUCACGUGUACGGUACUGUAUACGUUACUGUUCACGACACUGUUCACAUAGACGGAUGAUGACGUGGCAUUGACCGAUGAUGUGGCAUUGACUGAUGAGGUGUCACGAUCCUGUUGGACUAAAAUUCUUAUGUACUGUUGAUGGUGACGUGGCAGCAUAUCAGUGGACGAAAAAUCUCGCGUACGGU